GACAGAGGUGCCAAGCGUUAGGCGGAAUCACUGGGCUUAAAGCGUGUGUAGGUGGAUUUGUAAGUACCUUGUGAAAUCCCAUGGCUCAACCAUGGAACCGCUCGGUAUACUGCGAAUCUUGAGCCACUUAGGGGCUACCGGAACAAAUGGUGGAGCGGUGAAAUGCGUAGAUAUCAUGUGGAACGCCAAUGGUGAAAACAGGUAGCUGGGAGUGUGCUGACACUGAGACACGAAAGCCAGGGGAGCGAACGGG
rnacentral:rRNA from 1 species